AUGGCACCCAGCACUGAGCGGCCGGCCAGAAGGGUUACAACCACAAACCUUCGUUUGCAAGCCAAGUCGAGACCCUCAACUCUCAACUCUGAAGUCUUCAACUCCAAAGUAAUCUUUGGUAGCUCGUUGCAGCAGCAUCCUUCUAGGAGCAAGCAAAUGGUGCCGACUCUGAAGCUCAGGAUCCUCUCCGUGGCUGCCGCCGCCUGCGUCAUGGUCAGCACGGCCUACGCGGCCGAUGGACCAGCUCCGGCCCCGGCCUCCGGCGCCUCAGCGGUCGCCCCGGCUGUCGCCAUGGCGUCCUUGACCGCACUCGUCCUCGGCUACUUCUUCUGA
rnacentral:rRNA from 1 species